GGAUCUUCAAUAUCCAACAGAGGAAGAGGACAGCGGACCUCUGAACCCAGCAGUAUUGAACCUGCGACCACAGGAGUCCCACAGACUGAGGACACGCCACCUGAUGUCCACCUGCCCGGAUCCUCAGGAUCUAAGGAGACACAGCGACCUGAGUCUGACAGCGGUGACCCUAAAGCAGAAACCUCAAAGAGGAGGAGUUGGUCAUCUGCAGAGGUCCACGCUGUGGAAAAGUCACUAAUGUCCUCCAUAGAAUCCGGUAAAGUACCAGGAAAGUCUCAGUGUG